rnacentral:piRNA from 1 species
UGGCAGAUCUUAACUUCAGGAAGGUUGC